rnacentral:lncRNA from 1 species
AAGCAAAAAGAAGAAAGGCUGUAGUUCAAGUGUUGACGUUGCAGUCAGAGAUCAACGUGUGAUCAAAGGUUCAAAAGGCUAAGAUUCUACUUAAAGAUGAAGAAUCUACAAUAAGAAAAAAAGUUCAAGGUUGAUCCCGAUGGAUAUCUAUAGAGGUCGGAUACGUGUGCGGCUCAGAAACUUUCAGAUUUAAGAUCAUCGAUUAUAGUUAAUUUCAACCCACGCAAAGGUAUUGAGAUCUUAUCUCAAUUUUAUUUUAAUUUUUAGGUUAUAUACAUAUCUUAGAUCCAG